GCCGAGGUAGCCAAGGUGGUCACGGCGCGUGUCUGAAAAACACGUGAUGUCGGUUCGAC
rnacentral:tRNA from 1 species